GACGAACGCUGGCGGCGUGCCUAAUACAUGCAAGUUGAGCGCUGAAGGUUGGUACUUGUACCAACUGGAUGAGCAGCGAACGGGUGAGUAACGCGUGGGGAAUCUGCCUUUGAGCGGGGGACAACAUUUGGAAACGAAUGCUAAUACCGCAUAAAAACUUUAAACACAAGUUUUAAGUUUGAAAGAUGCAAUUGCAUCACUCAAAGAUGAUCCCGCGUUGUAUUAGCUAGUUGGUGAGGUAAAGGCUCACCAAGGCGAUGAUACAUAGCCGACCUGAGAGGGUGGUCGGCCACAUUGGGACUGAGACACGGCCCAAACUCCUACGGGAGGCAGCAGUAGGGAAUCUUCGGCAAUGGACGAAAGUCUGACCGAGCAACGCCGCGUGAGUGAAGAAGGUUUUCGGAUCGUAAAACUCUGUUGGUAGGGAAGAACGUUGGUGAGAGUGGAAAGCUCAUCAAGUGACGGUAACUACCCAGAAAGGGACGGCUAACUACGUG
rnacentral:rRNA from 1 species